UUGCUUCAAUUCCAUAUAUAUUGAGCUUAUCUGUACCACAAAAUCAUCCCUCUAUCUGCUUUGAACCAUUUUUCUCUUUCAUCUUCUCAUAUAAUAAUGUCUUGCUGUGGAGGAAAGUGUGGAUGUGGAACAGGCUGCAGCUGUGGUGAUGGAUGCAAGGGGUAUGUUGAUGAAAGUGUAACAGUGGCAGGAGAGAAUGGUUGCAAGUGUGGUUCCAACUGCACUUGUGAUCCCUGCAACUGCAAAUGAUAAUAAUCACAACUAUGGGGUAUUAAGAAUGGGCCAUAAGCACUGGUAUUGUGUACUAUCAUGUGUGGAAUCUAUAAACUAUAAUAAGCCACAGUAUAAACUAUAAUAAGUUAUGAUCAAGUGGCUUUGUGUGCAGGCAUAGAAUUGCCUAUGGUUUGUUUGUUCAAUGGAAUGUUUACAAUUUUCUUCCUUAAAUGCAAAGUAUGGUUAUUGUGUGAA